AUGAAAGUCAGUCACACUUUUAUCUGCUUCUUCUUCCUCUCACUGUGGGAUGGAAACACUCGUCUCAUUAAUGCAGUCCCCAUUAUUACAGAACAGGAGGGAGGAGACAUUAGAUAUGGGUGUUCCUUCUCAUUCUCUUUCUCUGGAAAAAGAAAGAUCUUCUGUAAGGAUGAAUGUAAAGAAAAAGACAUUCUUAUUCAAACCACUGAUAAAAGCGCUCAGCGUGGCAGAUACAGCAUUGAAUAUGAAGAAGGAACAUUUGGAUUAUACGCAGUUCUCUAUGUUAGCAUCACAAAACUGACCAAGUCGGACUCGGGACGGUACAAAUGUUCAGCCAGACGUAUGUUUCUAGAUUCAACCAAGGACUUUGAGAUCAGAGUUGAAGAUGCUCCAACCACUUCCAAACCAAAGUGGAAAACCACCACCAAAGCACCUUUUACACCAUCAGUCCCAUCAGCCUCCACACUGACAACAACACAGAGUUUAAGCUCUAGUUCAGGAAGCUCCACACCUUCAUCAUCCUCCCCUGAAACCCCCAACCAGCCUGAACAGCAACAGAGAGCUGCAGGUCCAGGUGUGCUGCUGUAUGUGCAUUUGCUACUGGUCAUCAAGAUCAUCGUAUUAUCAGCGGCUGUGCUGCUUUUCUGCAGAGAGAGGGCAGGUAAACCCAAAGGUGAGUCUACAAAAAACAUAACGAAGGCAACUGAACAUAAAAGACAUAAUAAUUUCUCACACAAAAUUUCAUUUCAUUUCAGCAAGCAUUGGAGGUGUGUAUGGACAAUGACAUCCAAUGAGCCAGUUUAUAUUAAUUUUCAUACUGACCAAAAUGCAUGAGGAAAAAGUGCAUGAAAAAAUAUUCAAAUUACGUAUUUGAGUAUCUACUUAUUUGAAUGACUUUCUUAUUGUUUCCUUGUGUGUAAAAACUAGUUUUUAAAUUCACAAUUUGCCUAAUUCUUACAGUUCUUCAGACGCAGUGGGAACACCAACAGUUUAGUUCCUGUUAAUUCCUGAACGUUCUGGUGGAAAUGUGCUGUAUGUGUCUCUUUGACUAAGCCCAAUGUUUUAACAGUGGACCUAAUCUUCUGAACCGCAGAUUUUUCAGAAUCUCCUGUGGAAACGGAGUAUGUUAUUGUCACAGAGGUGACAUGUUAUUACUUUUUGUUAUUUACUAUAACUUUGUCAAUGCUAUUAGUCUUUGUGAAACCAGCUGAUCUGAACACAAACCAAACUCCUCUUCUCUCCCUGCAGGAGGAGGACAGACAGAGCAGAUCUCCUCCUGAAGAAAUAUCUACAGUUUACACUUUCCACCGCAGACAGUUCUCAGGACAACGUGAGUUAAAACUGUGGUAGAAUUUUUAAAGAUUUAGGGGGUUCAUUUACAGAAUAUGGCUGAAAUUGAAUAUACCAUGAAUAACUAUGUAUAGUGUAUAAUCACUUGAGAUUCACUGGGAUUAAACAUUGUGCUGCUGUAGCAUUUACAGCCUUUCCGCAGGGAAAAUUUCAUCACCAGAACACUAGAUGGCACUACAUUCUACACAGGGUUCAGAAAACAGUAUCUUUAGAUUUCACCCACUAAAAUAAUUUGACUACCUUCGUGUACAGCAGAGGAAAUAUGUUUUGCAGUGGCAGUAUAGAGAGAAGUCUGUGGACACGUUUUCAAAAAUAGAGUUUUACAUGAGCUUUACGUCAGUCUGUUUCUCAGUAACAUGCUGUGUUUUUAAGAAACAGGAACCAGGCCAGUUUGUGAUCAUAUUUAAAGCUACAAGUUUCCGCUGUUUUGAGGAGGAAGUCUUCGGACUUCAUGUUCCAGUGUGAGCAGAGAGAGGGAGGAAAACGUGCUGCACUGAAAUACAGAUAUUCAGUUAGAUGUUAAAUAAUACAUUUGGAGAUAAAACCCUGUUUAUGGUUCACAUUAAGCAGCGCACAUGCUGAACUGAUGCUUAAACAACAAACCUGCCUCAGUAUACAUAAUCCCUAGAGCUGCAACAAUUAGUUCAUUAAUCAACAACAAUUAAAUUAAUUGCCAACUGAUUUGAUAAUUGAUUCCUCGUUUUUGAGUCAUUUUGUAAGAGAAAAAAAUUCUAAAUCCUCUGACUUCAGCUUCUCAAAUGUGAAUAUAUUUUCUUUAGUCCUCUUUGACAAUAAACUAAAUAUCUUUGGGUUAGUUGCAGCCCUAUAGCUGAUAUCUUAAACAAAAGGAACACAGAAGAAUAACAUAAACUUUGUAGAUUAUGUACAUAUGAAGGACUAAAUCAGUCACUGAUAACCUUUGACCUCUGUUUGUUUUGUUUCAGACUUCCAGUAAACUCAUCUACUCUGAACGGUGCAGCUGCCUCGCUCGACAGCGCCCCCCGUGGUGAUGCAGAUACUGUUGUCUACUCUUUGCCAUUUGCUGGAAAAAGUAAAAAUAGGGUUUGAAAUGCAUAUUUAAGGCUUGUCUGUUAUCUGUCUGAACUCUCAGGAUUCAACAUUUGGACAGUGGGAUGUUUUCUUCAGUAGAAAAUAAAAUGUCUUCCCUCCAAAAGAGAUAAGCUCCUUUUGUAAAAAUAAUUAAAAAUAAUUCUUGAAAUAAGCUGUUUUUAUUAAAAACAUUUAUAGAACUUGAUAACAGACAAAACUGACAGUGAGAGGAGUUUUCUAGCAGUGUAGACACACUGUUUUUUGACUCCGCUGUGGAACAAGGACUAAUAAAUAAGGAAGGAAAGUUGGGUGAGGGUGUUGCUUGGAGGAGGGACUCCAUCAUUUAGAGAAGUGUAAAGUUCCUAAUUUUUCAGUGAAGACCGAAGAAAGGCAGCGAUAAACCAUCAGAACCUCCAACAUGAAGGUCUGUCACACUUUGAUCUGCGUCAUCUUCCUCUGUGAGUACACUCUCCUUCUGUUUCUAUCACUCUCUCUCUUUAUUAUGUGACCUCAAACUCUAAAGACAUUUUUUUUGGUUUGAUACCAACAAUCUGCAAUCAGCGACUGUUCUGCUGUACUUGUUUUAUAGUUUAAUUGUUGCUUUUUGUUGUAUUUAGACUGUUGCAGUCGGAAAGAUUCAAGAGAAAGAUUACAUUUUAUUAUAGAGUAUUAGAGAAAUAUAUGAGUUUCAGUCAAAGUAAAUCAUAGUAACAUUUUCCCAACUGCAAGUUUUUAAACGGCCAUCACAGUGAGUGCUCAGUCUCUUUGGCUCAAGACAAGCACUGGAGCCUGCAUGUGAUGGGCGUCUAUAACCGUGAAUAUGUUAAAAAAGUACAAAUACUGAAUCAAAUCAAAUAAUCAAAAACAUACAAUCAAACAAAAACAAAAGGUAAAAACUCACUUUCUAGCAUUUUAAGGAUCUUUUAACUACAGCUCACACUUUAUCAGCAGGUGGUUUGUUUAGUAAUGCAAAUGGUUCAGUAAACAAUGAUGUAAAUGAUGUGUUUGACUGCAGGAUCUUACAGGACAGGAAGAUAGUAACGAUUGAUUGUUUAUCUUUCCAACAGCACUGUGGGAUGGAAACACUGCCUGCUUCGUUGGUGACAGAAGAACACGAGUCUAUACAAGAACUGAAGGAGAAAACAUCAGAGCUUUGUGUCACUUUGAUUUCUCUUUGUCUGGAAGACAUAAGAUCUUCUGUAAGGGAGAAUGUGAAGAAAAAGACAUUCUCAUUGAAACAUAUGAGGACAGAGCUCAGAGUGGCAGAUACAGCAUCCAAUAUAAACACUUAGAUCCUCAACCAUUUAUUAUAUCUAUGGAUGUGAGCAUCACAAAGCUGACAAAGUCUGACUCAGGGUGGUACAGAUGUAAGGUGGACAGAUCUACAGAUUCUUACGAUGACUUUGAGCUCAGAGUUGAAGAUGGUGAGUUUCUACUGAGAGUCCUGAAAUGAAGUGUUCACUGACAGCUGCUGAUGUUUCUAAUAACCCAACAUGUUUAGUCUAACAAUUAUAUUUGGAGCUGCAUAUUUCCAUCAUUGUGAACACUGAUAAAUGCUCCUUUAAAAGCAACAGUUCAUCUGUAAAAUAUCU
rnacentral:lncRNA from 15 species